rnacentral:antisense_RNA from 1 species
AUUUAUGGCGGGCCGUGUGAGGCGAGCUUCGGCUCGGCCGGUUCCCUCGGACGCCGGUUUACCACCCUUGCACGGUCCGCCUCCAUC